rnacentral:rRNA from 1 species
AAAGGGCUGCAGUAUUUUGACUGUACAAAGGUAGCAUAAUCAAUAGUCUCUUAAUUGGUGACUUGUAUGAAAGAUUGGAUGAAAUAUAUACUGUCUCUUAUUUAUAUUAAGAAUUUAAUUUUUUGAUCAAAAAGUCAAAAUGAAUUUAAAAGACGAGAAGACCCUAUAGAGUUUCAUAUAUAUUUUAAUUGAAAUUAUUUUUUAGUUUAAUAAUUAAAAUUAAAAUAUUUAUUUUGUUGGGGUGAUAAAAAAAUAAAAAUAACUUUUUUUAAUUUAAAAUCAUAAAUAAAUGAGUUAUUGAUCCAAAAAUUUUGAUUAUAAGAAAAAAUUACCUUAGGGAUAACAGCGUAAUUUUUUUUUUUAGUUCAAAUAAAAAAAAAAGUUUGCGACCUCGAUGUUGGAUUAAAAUAAAAUUUAUAUGCAAAAGUAUAAAA